rnacentral:hammerhead_ribozyme from 1 species
AUCCAACUGACGAGUCCCAAAUAGGACGAAAUGCGCAUCCUAGAU